rnacentral:rRNA from 1 species
GACAGAGGAUGCAAGCGUUAUCCGGAAUGAUUGGGCGUAAAGCGUAUGUAGGUGGCUUUUAAGUCCGCCGUCAAUCCAGGCUCAACCCUGGACAGGCGGUGGAAACUACCAAGCUGGAGUACGGUAGGGCAGAGGGAAUUUCCGGUGGAGCGGUGAAAUGCGUAGAGAUCGGAAAGAACACCAACGGCGAAAGCACUCUGCUGGGCCGACACUGACACUGAGAGACGAAAGCUAGGGGAGCGAAUGG